AAGUCGUAACAAGGUUUCCGUAGGUGAACCUGCGGAAGGAUCAUUAACACGUAUCCAAACGUUAAAACCCCCCCCGUGAACCUUCAUCCUGUUGUAACCCGCGUAGUUCGCAAUCUCUGAUAAAUCAUAGCACAUUAAACUGUGGGGUUAUUAGGGGGCAUGGGGACCCUUUGGCAAAGCUCCUGCCCGAGUGUACGGUCUACAGGAAUCGUAGAGGCGCUAUCCUUGCACAAUCAAUGACACUUUCCGACACUGACUGCUUGGAGAAACAUUGCCUAUAGAACUACCGCUCGAUUGUAACUGUUCCAAUGUUCGCACGUAAUACAUUGGGUAAAAAAACCGAACAACUGUUAACAAUGGAUAUCUUGGUUCUC
rnacentral:misc_RNA from 1 species